GGACAAAAUACUAUUGUUUAUGUGGACAAGGCUGAUGGAAUGUUUCACCUUUAUUUAAUAGACAACUAAUGAUGAAACAUCACAGCAUUAUAUCCUAAUGAGCCUAAUUGAGCAAUCUGAUCUGAUAUUAUCAGAAAGAUAAGUCAUUGAUUUGGCCACUUAUCUAAUCUCACUGUCUUGUUGUGACACAGUAUUUUGUAAAAUUGUAUCAUUCCCGGAUAUAAGCUAACAAACAUUGUUUUACCUUUAUUCCUUUUAAGUACAUGGAAUUUCUCUACUUUGUUUUUCAGAUUUCCCCAUUCCGUGCUAUGGUUCAGUGAUGACACCAUCAUGUUGAUUAAAACAAGAAUCUAUAACAAACAGAAAUAUGUCAAGAUCAGCGAACCGAGCUUGGAUGGAUUUUUGAAUGCUGCUUUCAUGAAGUUCUCCAUCCCACCUGUCACUGAAGGGAUCAGAGUAUAUGAUGAGACGGGAACAGAGGUGGAUGCAGACGUCUUUGAAGAAGUAGCACAGCAGCCCAACGCUGGUGUUUUUACUAUCAGAUUUGACAUUGAUCCCCCAAGGAGCAAGUUCAUCAGGCAGUCCAUUGAUUGAUGUCGCAACCAAAGCAUCGCUGGACCUUUCAGGCUGCGGUCCUGAAGAUUCGGUCACCCUUGAACUCAUAUCCUGCGGCUCUGAUGAUACAGUCAUCCUAGGUGAGGAUUACAGUCCUUGCAGAAAAAGGCAGAAGGAAGAUCAAGAUACCAAACAGUUGGUUCAAUCUGCGUUGGCCAAGAAACCUGGUGGAGACCGUAUUGUCAAGGAAUACAACCGGACGAAAGGUCUGAC